GGGACACGUGGUAUCCUGUCUGAAUAUGGGGGGACCAUCCUCCAAGGCUAAAUACUCCUGACUGACCGAUAGUGAACCAGUACCGUGAGGGAAAGGCGAAAAGAACCCCGGCGAGGGGAGUGAAAAAGAACCUGAAACCGUGUACGUACAAGCAGUGGGAGCACGCUUAGGCGUGUGACUGCGUACCUUUUGUAUAAUGGGUCAGCGACUUAUAUUCUGUAGCAAGGUUAACCGAAUAGGGGAGCCGAAGGGAAACCGAGUCUUAACUGGGCGUUAAGUUGCAGGGUAUAGACCCGAAACCCGGUGAUCUAGCCAUGGGCAGGUUGAAGGUUGGGUAACACUAACUGGAGGACCGAACCGACUAAUGUUGAAAAAUUAGCGGAUGACUUGUGGCUGGGGGUGAAAGGCCAAUCAAACCGGGAGAUAGCUGGUUCUCCCCGAAAGCUAUUUAGGUAGCGCCUCGUGAAUUCAUCUCCGGGGGUAGAGCACUGUUUCGGCAAGGGGGUCAUCCCGACUUACCAACCCGAUGCAAACUGCGAAUACCGGAGAAUGUUAUCACGGGAGACACACGGCGGGUGCUAACGUCCGUCGU
rnacentral:rRNA from 1 species